GUGGUUUGGUUGAAAAUGAGAGAGAGCACGCUGGUCCAUGACCCAUGCCAGCUUCCAUGGUUGUGUACUAGCGUGCUCCUUCUGGUUGUCAACCCAAGAUCAC
rnacentral:pre_miRNA from 1 species